rnacentral:rRNA from 1 species
GACGAACGCUGGCGGCGUGCUUAACACAUGCAAGUCGAACGGAAAGGCCCUGCUUUUGUGGGGUGCUCGAGUGGCGAACGGGUGAGUAACACGUGAGUAACCUGCCCUUGACUUUGGGAUAACUUCAGGAAACUGGGGCUAAUACCGGAUAGGAGCUCCUGCUGCAUGGUGGUGGUUGGAAAGUUUCGGCGGUUGGGGAUGGACUGGCGGGUUAUCAGCUUGUUGGUGGGGUAGUGGCUUAACAAGGCUUUGACGGGUAGCCGGCCUGAGAGGGUGACCGGCCCCAUUGGGACUGAGAUACGGCCCAGACUCCUACGGGAGGCAGCAGUGGGGAAUAGUGCACAAUGGGCGGAAGCCUGAUGCAGCAACGCCGCGUGCGGUAUGACGGCCUUCGGGUUGUAAACCGCUUUCGCCUGUGACGAAGCGUGAGUGACGGUAAUGGGUAAAGAAGCACCGGCUAACUACGUG